rnacentral:misc_RNA from 1 species
UUUCCGUAGGUGAACCUGCGGAAGGAUCAUUAUUGUAUAACCGAGGUGCGAGGGCUGUCGCUGACCCGAAAGGUCGUGCACGCCCGAGUGCCCUCACACACAUCCAUCUCACCCCUAUGUGCACCACCGCGUGGGUCCCCCUUUGGCUUGUUCGGAGGGGGGCUUACGUUUUCACACAAACUUUGUAUGCAGUGUAGAAUGUAUUUUUUGUUUUUGCGAUCACGCAAUCAAUACAACUUUUAACAAUGGAUAUCUAGGUUCUUGCCUCGAUGAAGAACGCAGC